rnacentral:misc_RNA from 1 species
AAACAGACAUUCGAGUUCCAAGACCGCCUAGGGAGGAUGGCGGCGAGCGGCUGCCAGCUGGACCCCAGUAAUCAUGGAAGGAAUUCUUUAUAAGUGGACCAAUUACUGGAACGGAUGGCAACCUAGAUGGUUUGUAUUGGACAAGGGUGUGUUGGCAUAUUACAAGUCACAGGAGGAAGUUAACCAGGGCAGUAAAGGAUCAGUAAAGCUUUCAGCAUGUGAAAUCUUGGUUCAUCCUACUGACACACUGAGAAUUGACAUUGUCAUUCCGUAUGAGCAGCGGUUUUACCUGAAGGCACCCUCAUCCCACGAGCGCCAUGCUUGGCUGGUGGCUCUUGGCAGUGCCAAAGCAGGAAUUCCUCCAGCAAUACCUCAGCCUAAAGUUGAAAAAGAGCCAGAGGCAGAUGUUGUGAAAGCAAAGAAGUCUGAGCUUCGUCUGACAUGUGACCUUCUAAUGAAACAAGUGUACAAUGUCAAGACUGCAGCAAACAACCCAGAUGGACCUGAUCUAGAGAAAUUAGAUGAAUCCACAACACUGCUGUCAGCAACCUGUGAUACCUUCAUCCAGACUCUGGAGGAGUGUAUGAAGCUGUCCAACACUUCUCCAACCCCACAGCUCUCUGGAGAGACCCUGAUUGCCCCAUCACUCUCCUAAAGGAAAGAAAAACCUCCAGCAGCUCCACACCAAUUGUAACAAGACAAAAUUCUACUGAAAGGAGGACUGAAUAGUUGAUCAUGUGAGUGCCACCUUCAGGUAGAGUAUGAUCUAUUUGUAUCGCUAUAAAGUUUUUGCGUUGCAACUUAGUACUGAUUAAAGAAAGAUAUUUAUUUGUUACUUAAUACAAAAUUAACGAGAUUAAUGUAUGAUUACACAUAGUAUGCUCUAAUGAUAAUGAUUAAGAUGUAAUGACUUAAUAAUCUGUCUCUAAAAAAUGUCUUAAUUACAGUAUCUAUGUAUUUACAAGAUAUGAAUCAAAUGAGACUAAUGUUUGUAGUGGUGAAGUCUUGAACUAGUCUUGGAAUACUUAGGGAUGGUUAAAUGUAUGUUGGCGUUUGUCUUGUGUAAUACCAUAGAAAGUAUCUGUGCAGUAUUUCAUAUGUAUGUAGUUUCAAAAUGUAUAUUUGUUUGAAUAUGUUUUAUAAAUCUUUAACAUUUAUAUAUUAAACCAUACAAUACUGUAUAACUGUAUAUGAAAGCAGGGAUAUGUAUAUUUUCUUCCAAGAGUUGUUACAAUAAAUUUAAGUAAGAAUGAGUGUGCAGAUAAGAAAUGAUACACAUGAAAUUUCCCAGAAAGAUCUGCCAAGCUGAUGUAUUUAUUUGCAACUCAGUUAACUACCAUUCCUGGGCUAGGAAGUGUUAAUCAUUGUUCUUGAUAUUACUCUAUUGAAAUGAAAAAUAACAUCUAUUUUUAACCUGUGUUUUGAAGCUUUAAAUGGUGUAAAGUAUUUGUUAUAUGCUUAAAUGUGAUAAUUUCUGUUUCAUGAAAAUUUAAUGUAAAUCUUUGCAUUCUGUACAUAAUAUAAUAUAUAUAUAUAUAUAUUUGCAUGA